UACAGGUGCUGCAUGGCUGUCGUCAGCUCGUGUCGUGAGAUGUUGGGUUAACGUCCGUAACGAGCGCAACCCUUGUCCUUAGUUACCAGCACGUUAUGGUGGGCACUCUAAGGAGACUGCCGGUGACGAAACCGGAGGAAGGUGGGGAUGACGUCAAGUCAUCCAUGGCCCUUACGGCCUGGGCUACACACGUGCUACAAUGGUCGGUACAAAGGGUUGCCAAGCCGCGAGGUGGAGCUAAUCCCAUAAAACCGAUCGUAGUCCGGAUCGCAGUCUGCAACUCGACUGCGUGAAGUCGGAAUCGCUAGUAAUCGUGAAUCAGAAUGUCACGGUGAAUACGUUCCCGGGCCUU
rnacentral:rRNA from 1 species